GGCCUUGCUCUUAUGUCAUCUGACUAAAAGUUUCAUAGACCAAAGAUAACCAUCCAUCCUGUUGGAAUACUGAAACAAUUGCUGCCUGCUUUCCACACACUACAUAAAAUAUGUGGAUAUCCUAAAUUCUACAAAAAAGAUUUGCAAGCAGAUCAAGCAAUACUGGGACUCCCUCUUCUCCAGAAGAGACAUCCUGGCCUCCAUGCAGAGGAAUGUGUGGAUGGACAUAUAUUUAAGGAAGACACUAAACCAGAAAAUACUACAUUACACCCUCUUAAAAGACUUCUAAGAUUGUUGUCAUGCCUACCACUGACAUUCAGAUGAUGUGUAUUCUUGAUUGUGAUUUCAUGUUUGGAGCUGAUGAAGGAGUUUGAAGUCUCCAGAGCAGCAAGGAGAGUGGGGAGUAGAACUCAUCAUCUUUAGGUCACUCAUCCCCG
rnacentral:lncRNA from 1 species